rnacentral:rRNA from 1 species
GACGAACGCUGGCGGCGUGCCUAAUACAUGCAAGUUGAGCGCUGAAGGUUGGUACUUGUACCAACUGGAUGAGCAGCGAACGGGUGAGUAACGCGUGGGGAAUCUGCCUUUGAGCGGGGGACAACAUUUGGAAACGAAUGCUAAUACCGCAUAAAAACUUUAAACACAAGUUUUAAGUUUGAAAGAUGCAAUUGCAUCACUCAAAGAUGAUCCCGCGUUGUAUUAGCUAGUUGGUGAGGUAAAGGCUCACCAAGGCGAGGAUACAUAGCCGACCUGAGAGGGUGAUCGGCCACAUUGGGACUGAGACACGGCCCAAACUCCUACGGGAGGCAGCAGUAGGGAAUCUUCGGCAAUGGACGAAAGUCUGACCGAGCAACGCCGCGUGAGUGAAGAAGGUUUUCGGAUCGUAAAACUCUGUUGGUAGAGAAGAACGUUGGUGAGAGUGGAAAGCUCAUCAAGUGACGGUAACUACCCAGAAAGGGACGGCUAACUACGUG